rnacentral:rRNA from 1 species
GGUAGUGUAUUGGMCUACCAUGGCUAUCRSGGGUAACGGAGAAUUAGGGUUCGAUUCCGGAGAGGGAGCYUGAGAAACGGCUACCACAACUACGGUAGGCAGCAGGCGCGUAAAUUACCCAAUCCUGACUCAGGGAGGUAGUCACGAGAAAUCUUGGAUCGGCCCAAGCUGGCUGAGUACAUGAUGGAUUGAAUAUAAACCAUUCUUUGAAAUCAAUUGGAGGGCAAGUCUGGUGCCAGCAGCCGCGGUAACUCCAGCUCCAAUAGUGUAUCUUAACGUUGUUGCAGUUAAAAAGCUCGUAGUUGAAUUUCUGGGGGGGUGUUUCAAGGUACGUCCUGUUCCUGCCCUCUCAUCCGCUUUGGAACCAGGAGGGGUAUUUAGUUAUCGGCCUGGGGAAGGGGCAUUUUWCUUUGAAGAAAUUAGAGUGUUCCAGGCAGKCUUUUGCUUGAAUACAUCAGCAUGGAAUAAUGGAAUAGGACAAUGUUCAUUUUAUUGGCUAUUGMACUUGUAAUGAUUAACAGGGACAGUUGGGGGCAUUCGUAUUCAUUUGUCAGAGGUG